GUGGCUUCUGCCUCCAUUCUGACUUCCAAAUCUCUUGCAAAUGCAUAUAAUUGGUUGAACCUAAUUCACAGUUAGAACCCCAGCUGCAAGUGAGACUGGAAAAAUGGCUCUCAGAGUUCCCGCCUCUGCAGUAGAGGAAGACACUCCAGAAGGAGUUGAGAAUGGGUGCUGAGUGCCUCUUCAGGAUGUCUGUCACACCUCAGGAAACCUGCCAGGAAUACCAAAGGGAGUGAAAAAUCCAAGGAAUACUUGUCAUUGAAAUUAGGGCCCACCUGGAUAAUCCAUGAUGAUCUCAUCUCAAGAUCCUUAACUUAAUGACAUCUGCAGAGACUGGUUUAUCAAAUAAGGGACUGUGGCUAUAUCGCUGACCUCAAGAAAACCUGCGGACAAAAUCUGCUAAAGAAGUAUCAGCAUCUAUUUCAAAAGUUAGCCAUUAUUUUAAGAAGACUGUGCUGGAAGACGGGUAUUUAACACAAACAGAUGCAAAAGAUACGGGGUUUCACCGUGUUGACCAGACUGAUUUUGAACUUCUGGGCUCAAUCAGUCCACCUGCCUCGGCCUCCCAAAGUGCUGAGAUUAUAGGUGUGAGCCCCUGCGCCUGGCCAGGGAUGCCGUUCUUCACUCUCCAGGUGGAAACAAAGUUAAACAGAUUUCUCUACGGCAGCAGGACUCAGAGCUUUUUUGAAUUGUCUGACGGGCA
rnacentral:lncRNA from 10 species